UGCAGUCGACGAUGAAGCCGGAGCUUGCUCUGGUGGAUUAGUGGCGAACGGGUGAGUAACACGUGAGUAACCUGCCCCUGACUCUGGGAUAAGCGCUGGAAACGGCGUCUAAUACCGGAUAUGCGCUGUAACCGCAUGGUUUGCAGCGGGAAAGAUUUAUCGGUUGGGGAUGGACUCGCGGCCUAUCAGCUUGUUGGUGAGGUAAUGGCUCACCAAGGCGUCGACGGGUAGCCGGCCUGAGAGGGUGACCGGCCACACUGGGACUGAGACACGGCCCAGACUCCUACGGGAGGCAGCAGUGGGGAAUAUUGCACAAUGGGCGCAAGCCUGAUGCAGCAACGCCGCGUGAGGGAUGACGGCCUUCGGGUUGUAAACCUCUUUUAGCAGGGAAGAAGCCUUCGGGUGACGGUACCUGCAGAAAAAGCGCCGGCUAACUACGUGCCAGCAGCCGCGGUAAUACGUAGGGCGCAAGCGUUAUCCGGAAUUAUUGGGCGUAAAGAGCUCGUAGGCGGUUUGUCACGUCUGCUGUGAAAACUGGAGGCUCAACCUCCAGCCUGCAGUGGGUACGGGCAGACUAGAGUGCGGUAGGGGAGAUUGGAAUUCCUGGUGUAGCGGUGGAAUGCGCAGAUAUCAGGAGGAACACCGAUGGCGAAGGCAGAUCUCUGGGCCGUUACUGACGCUGAGGAGCGAAAGGGUGGGGAGCAAACAGGCUUAGAUACCCUGGUAGUCCACCCCGUAAACGUUGGGAACUAGUUGUGGGGGCU
rnacentral:rRNA from 1 species